CCUGGUGGUUUGGCUGCUGAUCUAUAUAUGUCUGCGUAACAUUGAUGGAUCACGUGUUAGUGUUUAUUAUGCUGAAGAGUUCACCGGAGCGGUGCAUGAAUAUACGAAAACGUUCGAAAAUGUGCGGUCAGAAAUAUCUUGUGCAGUUUCCUGCUCCAGAGACCCAGAUUCAUGUAAAACCUGGUACUACAACACACAAAAAGAAACCUGUCACAUCCAAACCGCCGCUGUUUUCACACUCUUGUUGACCACCGGCAUUGUUUACGCUCGUGUACCACACAUACAGGGUAUGACAUAGUUAGUUAGUAAUCAAGCAGUUAUUUCAAUUAAUUAUUAAUCUUAAACUUCAUUAUAACAUAAUUGUAAUAUUUAAUAUAGUAAAGUAUUUUUUGUAUUCUGACAACAUUCCACAGUAAUUUAUUUUAAGUCAAUUAGGUUAAUGUAUUCACUAAAUCUCAACCAUUUGUUAUUCUUGUAAUUACCUCCCCUUGGAAUUGAUUAUCCCGAUAUCUAUCAUAUACAUGUAGGUGUGGACCAAAAUGUUAUUCAGGUUUAGUUUAAUCAAACAGAUUGUUUGAUUAGGAAGAUAUUAUAGUUUAGUAGAUGUUACUUAUAACCGUGACAUUAAUGGGAUACGAAUUGAAAUGUUAUAUCUUUUUUUAAUAUUGAUGACCGGUGAUGGACAUAUUUUUAUGAUGUUGUGAUUGACAUGUAUGAUCGAACUAUUUUUAUGACGAUGAUUUUUAUGACGCAUACAUGUAAUUAUUUAUAAUGAACGCCUGUUAUAUAUUGUAUAUUUUAUUCUUCCAGGGCGUUGUUUGCAAUGACAUAAUGAACUUUAUGAAGUAAAUCAUUUCCAAACGU